rnacentral:tRNA from 2 species
GUGCUUGUAGCUCAGCUGGAAGAGCAUCUGACUUUUAAUCAGGUGGUCGUGGGUUCAAGCCCCUCCAGGCACA